rnacentral:rRNA from 1 species
UACGUAGGCAGCGAGCGUUGUUCGGAAUUACUGGGCGUAAAGAGUGUGUAGGCGGUGCUCUAAGUUCGGUGUGAAAUCUCCUGCUUAACUGGGAGGGUGCGCCGGAAACUGGGGUGCUCGAGCGUGGGAGAGGAAAGCGGAAUUCCUGGUGUAGCGGUGAAAUUCGUAGAUAUCGGGAGGAACACCAGUGGCGAAGGCGGCGAUCUGGGAACAUACUGACGCUGAGGUGCGAAAGCGUGGGGAGCAAACAGGG